rnacentral:rRNA from 1 species
UGGGGAAUAUUGGGCAAUGGGCGCAAGCCUGACCCAGCAACGCCGCGUGAAGGAAGAAGGCUUUCGGGUUGUAAACUUCUUUUCUGGGGACGGAAUACAUGACGUACCCAGGAAUGAAGCCACGGCUAACGUAACGUGCCAGCAGCCGCGGUAAUACGUAGGUGGCAAGCGUUAUCCGGAUUUAUUGGGUGUAAAGGGCGUGUAGGCGGGAAUGCAAGUCAGAUGUGAAAACUAUGGGCUCAACCCAUAGCCUGCAUUUGAAACUGUAUUUCUUGAGUGCUGGAGAGGCAAUCGGAAUUCCGUGUGUAGCGGUGAAAUGCGUAGAUAUACGGAGGAACACCAGUGGCGAAGGCGGAUUGCUGGACAGUAACUGACGCUGAGGCGCGAAAGCGUGGGGAGCAAACAGGAUUAGAUACCC